rnacentral:rRNA from 1 species
AGUGAACGCUGGCGGUAGGCCUAACACAUGCAAGUCGAACGGCAGCACAGUAAGAGCUUGCUCUUACGGGUGGCGAGUGGCGGACGGGUGAGGAAUACAUCGGAAUCUACUUUUUCGUGGGGGAUAACGUAGGGAAACUUACGCUAAUACCGCAUACGACCUACGGGUGAAAUCAGGGGAUCUUCGGACCUUUCGCGAUUGAAUGAGCCGAUGUCGGAUUAGCUAGUUGGCGGGGUAAAGGCCCACCAAGGCGACGAUCCGUAGCUGGUCUGAGAGGAUGAUCAGCCACACUGGAACUGAGACACGGUCCAGACUCCUACGGGAGGCAGCAGUGGGGAAUAUUGCACAAAGGGCGCAAGCCUGAUCCAGCCAUGCCGCGUGAGUGAAGAAGGCCUUCGGGUUGUAAAGCCCUUUUGUUGGGAAAGAAAAGCAGCAGGUUAAUCCCCCGCUGUUCUGACGGUACCCAAAGAAUAAGCACCGGCUAACUUCGUG